UGCCUUGGUCCUCUCAUCCCACAGAACAUUCUGCUGAAAAAUCUCGGUUGGAUAUUGGACCCUGACCAAAGAACAAGUGACCUGUGACCAAAGCUGCUGUCAUGAACUGGGUGUUACCUGAACCACCAAGCAAUAACAUUGAGAUAUGCAACAACAUUCUAUAAUCAACAUUUUUGAUAUUUUCAUGCGUGGAGGUGGAGCAUAUAUGUUGAUCCAGUGAUUAAGAUAUGGUGCCAUUUUCUCCAUAGCCAGAACACAUGCAUGUGAGAAUCAAGGUGUGGAAGUGGCUCUAUUUUGCUAUUACUCCUUGUAACUCACAUACAAAAUUUGUCUUCUUGUCUCUACAUAUUUGGGCUCUGGUACUUGAGUGGUCUUAGUUCUCAAAGGAGAAAUGUUUCCAAAAGGGAACCCAACAUUGAUUCCAUGGACCUGGAAUUUGAGAUUGCUCUAGCCACCUUGGAAUGCUCAUGCCAAUCAGCUAACAAGCAAAUAAGGUUGUCAUUGUAUUGAAUGGAUGGCUGAUCUUGAUUAAAGAGUAGUAUUAAUAUGUUGGAACUUCUUGACUAAGCACUUUAGCUGUUUGGG
rnacentral:lncRNA from 10 species